CACGAACCGUACGAACGUUAUUCGGAAUCACUGGGCUUAAAGAGUACGUAGGCGGCACUGCAGGUUGGGUGUGAAAUCCCUCGGCUCAACCGAGGAAUUGCGCUCAAAACCGCAGUGCUUGAGGGAGAUAGAGGUGAGCGGAACUGAUGGUGGAGCGGUGAAAUGCGUUGAUAUCAUCAGGAACACCGGUGGCGAAAGCGGCUCACUGGGUCUCUUCUGACGCUGAGGUACGAAAGCUAGGGGAGCGAACGGGAUUAGAUACCCCCGUAGUCC
rnacentral:rRNA from 1 species